rnacentral:rRNA from 1 species
GACGAACGCGGCGGCGUGCCUAAUACAUGCAAGUCGAACGCACGAAGUUGAAGAGCUUGCUCUUUAACCAAUUGAGUGGCGGACGGGUGAGUAACACGUGGGUAACCUACCCCAUUAGAGGGGGAUAACAUUCGGAAACGGAUGCUAAUACCGCAUAGUUUCAGGAAUCGCAUGAUUCGUGAAGGAAAGGUGGCUUCGGUUACCACUAAUGGAUGGACCCGCGGCGUAUUAGCUAGUUGGUGAGGUAAUGGCUCACCAAGGCAAUGAUACGUAGCCGACCUGAGAGGGUGAUCGGCCACACUGGGACUGAGACACGGCCCAGACUCCUACGGGAGGCAGCAGUAGGGAAUCUUCCGCAAUGGACGAAAGUCUGACGGAGCAACGCCGCGUGAGUGAAGAAGGUUUUCGGAUCGUAAAACUCUGUUGUUAAAGAAGAACAAGGAUGAGAGUAACUGCUCAUCCCCUGACGGUAUUUAACCAGAAAGCCACGGCUAACUACGUGCCAGCAGCCGCGGUAAUACGUAGGUGGCAAGCGUUGUCCGGAUUUAUUGGGCGUAAAGCGAGCGCAGGCGGUUCUUUAAGUCUGAUGUGAAAGCCCCCGGCUCAACCGGGGAGGGUCAUUGGAAACUGGAGAACUUGAGUGCAGAAGAGGAGAGUGGAAUUCCACGUGUAGCGGUGAAAUGCGUAGAUAUGUGGAGGAACACCAGUGGCGAAGGCGACUCUCUGGUCUGUAACUGACGCUGAGGCUCGAAAGCGUGGGGAGCAAACAGG